GACAAAUGUACAUGAAAUCAGCACCAAACUGUUUCCUGGAGCAGACUCUUUGGCUAAAGCUUGGUGUGGCUAAGCUUGGUGUGGACAGGAAUGAUAUUUGCAUAGCUGGUUGUAGCUUUUGAUGGUGGUUCCCCUGCACACCCUAUUCCUAUGGAGGCAGACUUCUUUCAUUGACUAAGCAGAAUGACAAAAAAAAAAAAUUAGGGCUUUAUGCAGAAUUGGUAAUCAUCAUGUCUUCUGGCAUAUGAUUUAAGAAGGUAAAUCAUUAACAUGACACUGAUCACUUAGAAGAGACCAAAGGAAACUUGCAGAAGCAGUUCUUUCUACCAUCCAGGAAAAGGUUGCACACUAUAGCUAUAUAUAAAAUACAGAAAAAAAAAAGGAUGAUGAACUUCCUACUCCAUGGACUGCUUAGAU